UUGCAGUUAAAAAGCUCGUAGUUGGAUUUUGGUUAAGAGGGCGCGGUCGGCCGUUUGGUCUGUACUGCGUCGUCUUGACUUCCUGAUGAGGACAUGCUCUUGGUUAACGCUGAGACAUGGAGUCAUCGUGGUUACUUUGAAAAAAUUAGAGUGUUCAAAGCGGGCUUACGCUUGAAUAUAUUAGCAUGGAAUAACACUAUAGGACUCCUGUCCUAUCUCGUUGGUCUCGGGAUGGGAGUAAUGAUUAAGAGGAACAGUUGGGGGCAUUCGUAUUUCAUUGUCAGAGGUGAAAUUCCUGGAUUUAUGAAAGACGAACUUCUGCGAAAGCAUUUGCCAAGGAUGUUUUCAUUAAUCAAGAACGAAAGUUGGGGGCUCGAAGAUGAUUAGAUACCAUCCUAGUCUCAACCAUAAACGAUGCCGACUAGGGAUUGGUGGAUGUUAAUUGAUGACUUCACCAGCACCUUAUGAGAAAUCAAAGUUUUGGGGUUCCGGGGGGAGUAUGG
rnacentral:rRNA from 1 species